rnacentral:rRNA from 1 species
UACAGAGGUCUCAAGCGUUGUUCGGAUUCAUUGGGCGUAAAGGGGUGUGUAGGUGGCGCCGUAAGUCGGGUGUGAAAUUUCGGAGCUUAACUCCGAAACUGCAUUCGAUACUGCGGUGCUUGAGGACUGGAGAGGAGACUGGAAAUUCAUGGUGUAGCAGUGAAAUGCGUAGAGAUCAUGAGGAAGACCAGUGGCGAAGGCGGGUCUCUGGACAGUUCCUGACACUGAGACACGGAAGGCCAGGGGAGCAAAACGGG